rnacentral:rRNA from 1 species
AGAGUUUGAUCAUGGCUCAGGAUGAACGCUAGCUACAGGCUUAACACAUGCAAGUCGAGGGGCAGCAUGAUCAAGCUUGCUUUGAUUGAUGGCGACCGGCGCACGGGUGAGUAACGCGUAUCCAACCUUCCCUAUAGUAGUGGAUAGCCCGGCGAAAGUCGGAUUAAUACACUAUGUUGUAUUUAGAGGACAUCUGAAGAAUACCAAAGGCUUGCCGCUAUAGGAUGGGGAUGCGUCUGAUUAGAUAGUAGGCGGGGUAACGGCCCACCUAGUCGACGAUCAGUAGGGGUUCUGAGAGGAAGGUCCCCCACAUUGGAACUGAGACACGGUCCAAACUCCUACGGGAGGCAGCAGUGAGGAAUAUUGGUCAAUGGACGGGAGUCUGAACCAGCCAAGUAAGCGUGCAGGAUGACGGCCCUAUGGGUUGUAAACUGCUUUUAUACGGGGAUAAAGUGAGCCACGUGUGGCUUUUUGUAGGUACCGUAUGAAUAAGGACCGGCUAAUUCCGUGCCAGCCGCCGC